UACGUAGGUGGCAAGCGUUGUCCGGAAUUAUUGGGCGUAAAGCGCGCGCAGGUGGUUUCUUAAGUCUGAUGUGAAAGCCCACGGCUCAACCGUGGAGGGUCAUUGGAAACUGGGGAACUUGAGUGCAGAAGAGGAAAGUGGAAUUCCAAGUGUAGCGGUGAAAUGCGUAGAGAUUUGGAGGAACACCAGUGGCGAAGGCGACUUUCUGGUCUGUAACUGACACUGAGGCGCGAAAGCGUGGGGAGCGAACCGG
rnacentral:rRNA from 1 species